UACAGAGGUGGCUAGCGUUGCUCGGAAUCACUGGGCGUAAAGGGUGCGUAGGCGGGUCUUUAAGUCAGGGGUGAAAUCCUGGAGCUCAACUCCAGAACUGCCUUUGAUACUGAGGAUCUUGAGUUCGGGAGAGGUGAGUGGAACUGCGAGUGUAGAGGUGAAAUUCGUAGAUAUUCGCAAGAACACCAGUGGCGAAGGCGGCUCACUGGCCCGAUACUGACGCUGAGGCACGAAAGCGUGGGGAGCAAACAGG
rnacentral:rRNA from 1 species